rnacentral:rRNA from 1 species
UACGUAGGGUGCGAGCGUUAAUCGGAAUUACUGGGCGUAAAGCGUGCGCAGGCGGUUUUGUAAGUCUGACGUGAAAUCCCCGGGCUUAACCUGGGAAUUGCGUUUGGAGACUGCAAGGCUGGAGUCUGGCAGAGGGGGGGUAGAAUUCCACGUGUAGCAGUGAAAUGCGUAGAGAUGUGGAGGAACACCGAUGGCGAAGGCAGCCCCCUGGGUCAAGACUGACGCUCAUGCACGAA